GAUGAAGAACGUAGCGAAACGCGAUAAGUAAUGUGAAUUGCAGAAUUUAGUGAAUCAUCGAAUCUUUGAACGCACAUUGCGCCCCCUGGUAUUCCGGGGGGCAUGCCUGUUCGAGCGUCAUUUCACCACUCAAGCCUCGCUUGGUAUUGGGCAACGCGGUCCGCCGCGUGCCUCAAAUCGACCGGCUGGGUCUUCUGUCCCCUAAGCGUUGUGGAAACUAUUCGCUAAAGGGUGUUCGGGAGGCUACGCCGUAAAACAACCCCAUUUCUAAGGUUGACCUCGGAUCAGGUAGGGAUACCCGCUGAACUUAAGCAUAUCAAUAAGCGGAGGA
rnacentral:misc_RNA from 1 species